rnacentral:rRNA from 1 species
UACCGAGUUUACAACUCCCAAACCCCUGUGAACAUACCUUACUGUUGCCUCGGCGGAUCAGCCCGCUCCCGGUAAAACGGGACGGCCCGCCAGAGGACCCCUAAACUCUGUUUCUAUAUGUAACUUCUGAGUAAAACCAUAAAUAAAUCAAAACUUUCAACAACGGAUCUCUUGGUUCUGGCAUCGAUGAAGAACGCAGCAAAAUGCGAUAAGUAAUGUGAAUUGCAGAAUUCAGUGAAUCAUCGAAUCUUUGAACGCACAUUGCGCCCGCCAGUAUUCUGGCGGGCAUGCCUGUUCGAGCGUCAUUUCAACCCUCAAGCCCUCGGGUUUGGUGUUGGGGAUCGGCGAGCCUUUCUGGCAAGCCGGCCCCGAAAUCUAGUGGCGGUCUCGCUGCAGCCUCCAUUGCGUAGUAGUAAAACCCUCGCAACUGGAACGCGGCGCGGCCAAGCCGUUAAACCCCCAACUUCUGAAUGUUGACCUCGGAUCAGGUAGGAAUACCCGCUGAACUUAAGCAUA